ensembl:lncRNA
CAUCUGAACCACCAGGGAAGCUCAAGAAUACUGGAGUGUGUUGUCAUUCCCUUCUCCAGGGUAUCUUCCUGAUACAGGAAUCAAACUGGGGUCUCCUGCAUUGUAGGUGGAUUCUUUAUCAGCUGAGUUACCAGAGAGAGAUGGUAAGCAAAUUUGAGGGCAAUUAACAGCUUCUUGCUACUGACUGGGAACUGAGGGUGAUACAUUUUGGCUUCUCUGGUUCUUAGUGACAGUGUAUUGAUGUUUUCAAACUGGUACUGGAAGAAGACUCUUGAGAGUCCCUUGUACAGUCCCUUGGAUCAAACCAGUCAAUCCUAAAGGAAAUCAACUUUUCGGAAAUCAAAGAAUAUUCAUGCAAGGACUGAUGCUGAAGCUCCAAUACUUUGGCCACCUGAUGUGAAGAGUCGACUCAUCAGAAAAGACCCUGAUGCUGGGAAAAACUGAAGGCCUUCUCGAGGAUGAGGUGAGUGAAAGUGACAUUGCUGUCAGCUGGAUCCAGGUGCUUUAUCUCCUGCGCUGGCUCCUCCCAGCCAACAGGAGCUACCCCACGUCCCAGGUCAGGGGCAGAAGCCAGGAGGACCCCAUGCCCGAGGGGCGGUGGCCGGGAGGAGCUACCCCACGUCCGAGGUCAUGGGAGGCGGCCGAGAGUGCCAGGCUGCGACAGCGCAGGAGCAGCCAAGAGGAGCUACCCCAGCCCGAGGCUAGGGGCGGCGGCCAGGAGGAGCUACCCCACGUCCGAGGUCAGGGGUGGUGGCCGAGAGUGCCAGGCUGCGACAGCCCAGGAGCCGCCAGCUGAGAGGAGCUACCCCACGCCCGAGGUCAGGGGCGGUGGCCGAGAGGAACAACCUCACUUCCAAGGAGCGGUAGCUGCGUGGACGCAGGAGGGCCUAGAGGAGCUACUCCACGUUCAAGGUCAGGAGGGGCAGUGUUGAGGAGAUACCCCUCAUCCAAGGUAAGGAGCAGCAGCUGUGCUUUGCUGGAGCAGCCGUGAAGAGAUACCCCACAUCCAAGGGAACAAGAGAAAGAGAAAGCAAGAGUAAGCGCUGCAAAGACUGCUGUUACAUGGUUUCCCUUAAGCCCCAGAAAUAGAAAGCCAGACUUCCGACUUGCAGAGCCUCUGUGCGAACCACCAGACCACACUGCCAGAUAAGAAAAAUGUUCGAUUGUGU